GAUGAACGCUGGCGGCGUGCCUAAUACAUGCAAGUCGAGCGAACGGACGAGAAGCUUGCUUCUCUGAUGUUAGCGGCGGACGGGUGAGUAACACGUGGAUAACCUACCUAUAAGACUGGGAUAACUUCGGGAAACCGGAGCUAAUACCGGAUAAUAUUUUGAACCGCAUGGUUCAAAAGUGAAAGACGGUCUUGCUGUCACUUAUAGAUGGAUCCGCGCUGCAUUAGCUAGUUGGUAAGGUAACGGCUUACCAAGGCAACGAUGCAUAGCCGACCUGAGAGGGUGAUCGGCCACACUGGAACUGAGACACGGUCCAGACUCCUACGGGAGGCAGCAGUAGGGAAUCUUCCGCAAUGGGCGAAAGCCUGGCGGAGCAAUGCCGCGUGAGUGAUGAAGGUCUUCGGAUCGUAAAACUCUGUUAUUAGGGAAGAACAUAUGUGUAAGUAACUGUGCACAUCUUGACGGUACCUAAUCAGAAAGCCACGGCUAACUACGUG
rnacentral:rRNA from 1 species